GAUCAAGUUUUCUCUAAAUAUUUUAUUAAUAACCAAUUUGUUUUCAAACAUAUUAUGCUUCCUACUAUUUCUCAAAACAGAUUUUAAAAUUCUCAAAGAUUUUAUCCAGGUGCCUAUUUUUUUUACUGAUAUCAAAACUGAUAAAAUCUUUCCAUGUCAUUCAAGAAUUUGAUUUACUUCAACAGUCAUAUUUUUUACUAGCCGUUGGACAUCACUGUUCUAUAUUUAUACACGACUACGUUGCUAAAAUCAAUAACUCUAUCAUCUAUAAAAUAAUUGAUAUACUCAGAGAAAAAUUUCUAGCAAAUUCUAAUUGCCUUGUUCUUAUGUUGUUCUUACUAGAUAUCUAUAGUGAUCAGUUGUAAUCCCCUUAUUGUAUUAAAGUUCAUAUCUUUUAUAAAAGGGGUUUCGGAGUGAACCAAGGAGUUUUCUUUAAUAUUGUACAAUGAGAGUUCAAGGGGGGUAGAAGUGUCCAAAGGAGAAGUGGUACUCAAAGGGAGCAGAAGUGCCCAAGAGAGGAAGUUUCCUCAAGGGAGUUGCGUGCUCAGGAAGUUUUUUGAAUUCUAUUACACAGUGAGUUGAUAUUAUUGUAAUUGGUUUAUUAAUAUUAAAGAAACCUGUUAUGUAUCAAUUGAUACCUGACCUUGGAUAUAAGCCAUAGAAUAGAG
rnacentral:lncRNA from 1 species